rnacentral:rRNA from 1 species
UUUCCUUCGGGACGCAGAGACAGGUGGUGCAUGGUUGUCGUCAGCUCGUGUCGUGAGAUGUUGGGUUAAGUCCCGCAACGAGCGCAACCCUUAUGGUCAGUUACUACGCAAGAGGACUCUGGCCAGACUGCCGUUGACAAAACGGAGGAAGGUGGGGAUGACGUCAAAUCAUCAUGCCCUUUAUGACUUGGGCUACACACGUACUACAAUGGCGUUAAACAAAGAGAAGCAAGACCGCGAGGUGGAGCAAAACUCAGAAACAACGUCCCAGUUCGGACUGCAGGCUGCAACUCGCCUGCACGAAGUCGGAAUUGCUAGUAAUCGCAGAUCAGCAUGCUGCGGUGAAUACGUUCCCGGGCCUUGUACACACCGCCCGUCACACCAUGAGAGCCGGGGGGACCCGAAGUCGGUAGUCUAACCGCAAGGAGGACGCCGCCGAAGGUAAAACUGGUGAUUGGGGUGAAGUCGUAACAAGGUAGCCGUAGGAGAACCUGCGGCUGGAUCACCUCCUUU